AUCCAGCUGACGAGUCCAAAAUAGGACGAAAUGCGCGUCCUAGAU
rnacentral:hammerhead_ribozyme from 1 species